AGUGGGGAAUCUUGCACAAUGGGGGRAACYCUGAUGCAGCGACGCCGCGUGAGCGAUGAAGCCCUUCGGGGUGUAAAGCUCUUUCGGCAGGRAAGAUAAUGACGGUACCYGCAGAAGAAGCUGCGGCUAACUACGUGCCAGCAGCCGCGGUAAUACGUAGGCAGCGAGCGUUGUUCGGAAUUACUGGGCGUAAAGRGUGUGUAGGCGGUKYUYUAAGUYUGGUGUGAAAUCUCCCGGCUCAACUGGGAGGGUGCGCCGAAAACUGGARKGCUAGAGUGUGGGAGAGGWAAGUGGAAUUCCUGGUGUAGCGGUGAAAUGCGUAGAUAUCAGGAGGAACACCUGUGGUGUAGACRGCUUUCUGGACCRYUWCUGACGCUGAGACACGAAAGCGUGGGUAGCAAACAGGAUUAGAUACCCUGGUAGUCCACGCCCUAAACGAUGCAUAYUUGGUGUGAGCGAUUCAUUUCGUYCGUGCCGGAGCUAACGCGUUAAGMUAUGCCGCCUGGGGAGUACGGUCGCAAGGCUGAAACUC
rnacentral:rRNA from 1 species